AACAAGCACAGAUUCUGGAGUCCCUGACCCUCUCAACUCUGUCAUUUGUAAGGAUGUCUCUCUCCCCAUCUGGUGUCUCCGGCCCCUCCUCCUUCCACUGGGGAGGUGGGGGAGCCAGCAGCUGGAUGGCUUUGUGGGGAGGGACAUUACAAAGCCCAAGCCCACUUCCCUGGCCCCUCAGCCCCGAGCAGAUGGUCAGAGACAGAUGGGGGAUUGGAGCCUUGGGUGGGAGGGCUUGGGGACACAGGGUGGCCUAUCUCCAGACACAUGGGUUCCUGUGCCUUAGACCAAGCAUCUGCGGUUCCCAACUCCUUCCCCAUCCCCCUCGAGCCCCUACCCCAUUAGGCUCAUUUUCAAAACUAUGCCGCCUUCCUCUCUCCCCUUCUGGUUAACCAGCUUUUGGUGGUGAAGUAGAUGACAAAUUGGAUAGUAGAGAGUAGCUGUCAAUCCUGUCACACCUGGCUCUUCCUAGGAGAAAAAUGAAAUUGGUGGGUCCAGAAAGCCACCUGUUUAUGCUGGGGGAUGUUUGCAAACAGUCAUGUUAAUACAUUGAUUGUUUCAAACUGGGCAGUUGUAGAAUCAUGCUGGCUUCAACAAAUCAGUAUGCUGAUUUAAAUUGGGCAGGUACAUCUGCAGUUUUAAAGUGUAUAUGUUUACUAGCCUAACUGGUUUCAAUAUUGUGGUUUAUUUUUAUUUUUAUUUUUUUUUGAGACAUAGUCUUGCUCUGUUGCCUAGGCUGGAGUGCAGUGAUGCAAUUUUGGCUCACUGCAACCUCCACCUCCUGGGUUCAAGCAUUUCUCGUGCCUCAGCCUCCCGAGUAGCUGGGAGUACAGGCGCACACCACCACACUCAGCUAAUUUUUAUAGUUUUAGUAGAGACAGGGUUUCACCAUGUUGGUCAGGCUGGUCUCGAACUCCUGACUUCAGGUGGUCACUCGCCUCAGCCUCCCAAAGUGCUGGGAUUACAGGCUUGAGCCACCACUCCUGGCCCAAUAUAUUGUGUUUUUUUUAAGAGGCAGGCCCAUGUAUUGCACUAAAAAUACUGUAUUAAAGUAGGUAGCCUUGUAAGUUUACUGUUUUAUACUGGAUUCAUUAGCCGGGAGUGGUGGCCUGUGCCUGUGGUCCCAGCUACUCAGGAGGCUGAGGUGGGAGGAUCACUUGAGCCUGGAAGUUACAGGCUGCAGUGAGCUGUGAUCCCGCCACUGCACUCUAGCCUGGAUGACAGAGUGAGUCUCCAUCUCUAAAAAAAAAUAAGUUAAAAUGAGAAAGUAAACUGGAGUCAAUAUAUUCACUUAAACCAGGGUUUUUCACCCUUGGCCCUAUUGACGCUUUGGACCAGAUAAUUAUAGAGGACUGCCCUGUGCAUUGAAGGAUUUUUGCAGCAUCCUGGGCAUCUGCCUACUAGAUGCCAGUAUUGCGAUAACCGGUUAUAUCUCCCGGCAUUGCCAGAUUUCCCAGGGGUAGGCAGAUAGACAAAAUUGUUCCUAGUUCUGAACCACUGUUUUAUGGUAUAUGGAUGUGUUUAUAUAUUUAUUGUGGUUUAGAUUCAGCACACUGGAUUAAAGUGGGCAGAUCUGGAAGCCUAGUGAUUCAAAGUGGGCAAAAUACAGUGGCAUAAAUUAGGUGUGCCACCGUGCCCGGCCUUGUAUGUGGGUUUUAAGUGGGCCAAUGUAAUAAGCAUUCUGUUUCAUACCUGGGGUAGUAUGUGGAUAUAAGUAUCAGCUUAAAAUAGGGCAAGUAAAUAAAUCUGUGUUCCUA